GACGAACGCUGGCGGCGUGCUUAACACAUGCAAGUCGAACGGAAAGGCCCUGCUUUUGUGGGGUGCUCGAGUGGCGAACGGGUGAGUAACACGUGAGUAACCUGCCCUUGACUUUGGGAUAACUUCAGGAAACUGGGGCUAAUACCGGAUAGGAGCUCCUGCUGCAUGGUGGGGGUUGGAAAGUUUCGGCGGUUGGGGAUGGACUCGCGGCUUAUCAGCUUGUUGGUGGGGUAGUGGCUUACCAAGGCUUUGACGGGUAGCCGGCCUGAGAGGGUGACCGGCCACAUUGGGACUGAAAUACGGCCCAGGCUCCUACGGGGGGGAGGAGUGGGGAAUGUUGCAAAAGGGGCGGAAGCCUGAUGCAGCAACGCCGGGGGGGGGAGGAGGGCCUUCGGGUGGAAAACCGCUUUCGCCUGUGACGAAGGGGGAGGGAGGGAAAUGGGAAAAGAAGCACCGGCUAAUUACGU
rnacentral:rRNA from 1 species